rnacentral:rRNA from 3 species
UGGAGAAUCCCGUGAACUAUCGAGUCUUUAAACGCAAGUUGCGCCUGAAGCCAUUAAGCUGAUGGUGUACCUGCCUGGGCGUCACAGCCGUUGCCCCCCGGCACUUCCAUUGGAAGCGUCGGUGGGCAGACAAUGGCUUUCAGUGCGUCACCACGCGUGGUUGGCACAAAUGUUUAGUCCCCGGUGAUGAACGCCACGACAAUCGUUGGUUGUCAAACCUCGGUUGCCUGUUGUGCACUUUCAUCGAGCUCUGGGCGGCUCACGAUGCUCACUGCUUUGCUUCGGUGGAGCCUUCAACGCGACCCCAGGUCAGGCAGGGUUACCCACUAAAUUUAA